rnacentral:rRNA from 1 species
GAUGAACGCUGGCGGCGUGCCUAAUACAUGCAAGUCGAGCGAACAGACGAGGCGCUUGCUCCUCUGACGUUAGCGGCGGACGGGUGAGUAACACGUGGAUAACCUACCUAUAAGACUGGGAUAACUUCGGGAAACCGGAGCUAAUACCGGAUAAUAUAUUGAACCGCAUGGUUCAAUAGUGAAAGCCGGUUUUGCUGUCACUUAUAGAUGGAUCCGCGCCGCAUUAGCUAGUUGGUAAGGUAACGGCUUACCAAGGCAACGAUGCGUAGCCGACCUGAGAGGGUGAUCAGCCACACUGGAACUGAGACACGGUCCAGACUCCUACGGGAGGCAGCAGUAGGGAAUCUUCCGCAAUGGGCGAAAGCCUGACGGAGCAAUGCCGCGUGAGUGAUGAAGGUCUUCGGAUCGUAAAACUCUGUUAUUAGGGAAGAACAAAUGUGUAAGUAACUAUGCACGUCUUGACGGUACCUAAUCAGAAAGCCACGGCUAACUACGUG